CGGGGCUGGGAGAGAGGGCUGCGAUGCGGACCUGGCCGCGGCAGUGACCGGAGCUGCCGGCCGACAUGAAUUCGCUGGAACAGGCGGAAGUGCUGCUUAUAGUGGUGUCUGUCUGUACAGCUACUGGUGCCUGGAACUGGCUAAUAGACCCUGAGACACAAAAGGUGUCCUUCCUCACGUCACUGUGGAACCAUCCGUUCUUCACGAUUAGCUGUAUAACGCUGAUAGGCUUGUUCUUUGCUGGAAUACACAAAAGAGUAGUCGCACCAUCAAUUAUAGCUGCUCGAUGUCGAACGGUAUUAGCAGAAUACAAUAUGUCUUGUGAUGACACAGGAAAGCUAAUUUUGAAACCUAGACCUCAUGUUCAAUGACAGUCUGCACUAUUGUAAGGGAACCUAAACCAGUCUUUCCUCAAGUAAGUGAUACCGCAGAAUACCAUAAAGGAUUUCUUUUAGAGUUGGACAUGUGACGGUUUAGCAGCAACUGACAAGAAGCGUGCAAUACUUGCCCAGAUGAUCUUGACGAUGCUGGCCGAGCUCUUGGCGCCUCAGUACCUUUGAUUACCUGUGUUCAGUAUUAGUGUCACUUCAGCACUUCAGCCCCUGCACAGAACUCUGCAGAUGAAGUUUGUGUGUAUUACUAAGUUAAACUUAGAAUCCAGACCUCCUUCAGUUUUUAUAAUGUAUUUUUGCAAAUUACUGUAAAUAGCAAAUCAAUGCCAAUGUUAAACCAAGAGGAAAAUGUUUGGACUUUGU
rnacentral:lncRNA from 1 species